GUCUGGCCAUCCCUGUUCCCACUUGAGCUGAGAGAGAGACUACGGGAUUUUAGCAAAGCAUUCAUGACUCCAAAGAAUCCUUGAAAGAAUUCAAGACUAGAAUAUAGCUUCUAAAAGAUCUUUCCAACUUACUGAAGGGAGUCUGCUUCUAAGAGCAGGCUCUAGGGGAAAAAAUCAAAGGGACUCUGGGAACUUAUUCCUUUAUGACAACACAGAGACAAAAUAUGCCAACAUGCAAAAUGCUCUGCUGCCACUCAUGGCGCCAACGUUCAUUCUGAGUGCGUGCUAUAUAAAUGAAUGCAGUUCAGUGGCUGCUGGACGGAUACAGGAAUUGCAGAUUGUGUCUUAAGACUGACGGGGUCUUACGAAGUAGGCUCAGCUCCCUUGAACUGAAGACCCUAUUGCAUUGGUCUUCCCAGUGAUGGAGUCACGGGUAUAUGUCACCAUGCCUGGCUGAAACAGACCUUUUAAAAUGUAAAUAUGUGGGAAGGGGAUACUUGGAAAGACAGGGAGAUUUACAUUCACCCGGGAGAGAUAUCCCAGACCAGACAGGGAAGGAAUUCACAUCCCAAACUUCAAGGAGAACGUUUCCCAGUCACCUUAGCACCCGUCUAUUUAUUUAUCAGUAGUAACUGUUUCUGUCCGGAAAGAUCACGAGGCACGAUCUGAGCUCUGGGAAGAAAGAGUGCCAUGCUGAUUGGUAAUGUCUGUCCUGGCCUGGACACUGAGGGUGGUACCGUGUAGUCGUGCCUGGCAGGAGCACGGGCUUGGAGAGAACUCAGAGCUGCCAACCUAGCCUGAGAGGAAAGGCUCCUGCUCAGACCUGGCAAGUUCAAACCAGAAGACACUGAGCUGCGGGAGCACACGGCUCUGUGGGAUUUCUCCUCAGCGGUAAACCGCAAAGUCUACUUGAAAAUGUCAGCCUGUCUCAGGUGUGCCAAGGGAAAACACCCUUCUGAUGAGUGUUUAGUCAGAUAGGAGAAAAGGCAGGGUGGAGGCGAGACAAGACUGACCCCUGGUGGUCGAUUCGCAAACGUCCUAGUUUAAAGAUUCCCACAAAGCAUACCAGAAAGUUCUAAGUCGAACCCCUCAGCAUUUUCCAUGGACAAAAAGAGCUUUGACGUAAAAUAACUUUGGGGAAAUUUUCACGUCACAUAAUGUAUACUGUAUCUCUUUCUUGUACAUUGUAUCUCUUUCGUGGUGAUUUGCUGUGUUUUUCUACACUUUUGAGAGUUCCUGUAAUAACAAAGCUUAAAUUGCCUUUAUAACCUCCUCAAUUUUGUUUGAACUUAGACAUGACUUUGUUCUGCCAUUUUCUAAAGUUUUGUGAGAGGCACAUUAGGAGGAUGGAGAGAC